rnacentral:rRNA from 1 species
UGGGGAAUAUUGCACAAUGGGGGAAACCCUGAUGCAGCGACGCCGCGUGAGCGAAGAAGGCUUUCGAGUCGUAAAGCUCUGUCCUAUGAGAAGAUAAUGACGGUAUCAUAGGAGGAAGCCCUGGCUAAAUACGUGCCAGCAGCCGCGGUAAUACGUAUGGGGCGAGCGUUGUCCGGAAUUAUUGGGCGUAAAGGGUACGUAGGCGGUUUUUUAAGUCAGGUGUGAAAGCGUGAGGCUUAACCUCAUUAAGCACUUGAAACUGAUAGACUUGAGUGAAGGAGAGGAAAGUGGAAUUCCUAGUGUAGCGGUGAAAUGCGUAGAUAUUAGGAGGAACACCGGUGGCGAAAGCGGCUUUUUGGCCUGCAACUGACACUGAGGCGCGAAAGCGUGGGGAGCAAACAGG